CGUCUGGGGCCCCGGGCAGAUCCCCGCGGGGGUCCCGGGAAGCGGGGCCCUGGGGCUCCCGAGGGCGGGUCCGGGUGCCCCGGCUCACACGGCGGUGUGGCGGCGCUCGGAGAAGACGCGCAGCGUGAAGUCGGCCUCGUCGCCGGCGCGGGCGGCGCUGGGCACCACCAGCCCCUCCACGCCUGUCCCCUGCUGCUUCCGCUAAGCCUUGGGGUCCCACCUGGAACACGUGGAAACCCACGGUGAGGCCUCACCGUUGCCAGGCUGGCUCCCGCCAGAGUUGAAGCCCCGCACCCAGCGGCCUUGGAAAGUGUGGAUGUGCCAGCCACCCCCCGCUGGGCUCGGGCCCAGCACCUCGGG